AGCCACAAUUGAGGAUUGAACACAGGACACCUGGUUUACAAGACCAGUGCUCUAACCACUGAGCUAUUGUGGC
rnacentral:tRNA from 1 species